rnacentral:rRNA from 1 species
UACGUAGGGGGCAAGCGUUGUCCGGAUUUAUUGGGCGUAAAGAGCGUGUAGGCGGCCAUGCAGGUCAGCUGUGAAAACUCGAGGCUCAACCUCGAGACGUCGGUUGAAACCGUAUGGCUAGAGUCCGGAAGAGGAGAGUGGAAUUCCCGGUGUAGCGGUGAAAUGCGCAGAUAUCGGGAAGAACACCCGUGGCGAAGGCGGCUCUCUGGGACGUUACUGACGCUGAGACGCGAAAGCGUGGGGAGCGAACAGG